CGCCUCUUGCAAAAUUUACAAAUAAGAGGUCCCGCCUGCCCUGUGACUAUAUGUUUAACGGCCGCGGUAUUUUGACCGUGCAAAGGUAGCGCAAUCACUUGUCUUUUAAAUGGAGACCCGUAUGAAUGGCAUAACGAGGGCUUAACUGUCUCUUCUUUCAAGUCAAUGAAAUUGAUCUCCCCGUGCAGAAGCGGGGAUGCGCACAUAAGACGAGAAGACCCUGUGGAGCUUUAGGCACUAAAGCAGAAUAUGUAAAGUACCCCAAAUUAAAGACUAAAACAGCUUAUAACCUGCCCUAAUGCCUUCGGUUGGGGCGACCGCGGGGAAAUAAAAAACCCCCAUGUAGAACGGGAGCACUGCUCCUACAACUUAGAGCCCCCGCUCUAAUUAACAGAACCUCUGACUAAUAAGAUCCGGCAAUGCCGAUCAACGGACCAAGUUACCCCAGGGAUAACAGCGCAAUCCCCUUUUAGAGCCCAUAUCGACAAGGGGGUUUACGACCUCGAUGUUGGAUCAGGACAUCCUAAUGGUGCAGCCGCUAUUAAGGGUUCGUUUGUUCAACGAUUAAAGUCCU
rnacentral:rRNA from 2 species